AAAGUGCUAAUCAAACCUCCCCGUGGAUUGUGAACAUGUGUGUGGGAGCACCAGCAAGAGUUGUUCAAUGCACAUCAAGUACGCCUUACCUGAUCAUUGCAUUUGGUGCACACCAACAUUGGUGCAAUGGUCACUUUGCUGGCUCCCUUAUGAUCUAACAUCAUCAGGGAUUCUGGGGGGUUGUAGCAGAAAAACCACACUAUGUGGUGUGUAAUGUGGGGUAGGUUCGUGAAGUGACUUAUAGUUUUCCAAUCACAACCUCCCUGGAACCGCUGCACCCUGGACAAGCAAGUGCCACAGAGGCAAGAAAAACCUAUCAGAGUCCAUUCACAGCAAAAACAUUUUAGUCAGUUAAUCAGCUUGUCAGCUGAGUACAACUACAACAUCUGAUCUUCUCCACAACUGUUGAGUAAAGUCACAGAUUCAGAUUUUCAUAUAAAAAAUAGCAGGAAGCUUUAAUUUUCACUGUUACACUAUUUACAGCUGUACAAUCAGGAUACACAGAUCCACAAUUAGUUUUGUACUUGUAAAUGAUUCUCUGAGAGAGAUAUUCAUGAUGAGAUUCACACAGGAAGAGGAAGAUUGAGCAUUUCAUCUCCCUUUUAUAACCACCUGCUGACUUGUCACCAGUAAGGGACAAACAACUGAUGUAACCGUAAUCCCUUGUCAUAAACCUCACAUGAUUAUGACUCAGCAUUACUACACGCCCUUUAGGUAUUUCAUUGUGACUUUCUCAGUCAUUCCCCAGGUGUUAUCACAUGUCCAUCAAAACCGUAUUUUCACAUAGAUUCAACGCUGAGGCAUUUCUAUCUAGCAGUGUGCUCUUCCAAGAUGAAACUCUAUAGACCAGCUUCCAUAUGGUUAUCUCUUCCUGACAUUCUCUGAUCUUAACCAAGAACUCCAACAGAGGAAAACGUGCUCGCAUUGCUGAAGGACUGGCCCGCACGGAGCUCUUCCUCGUCUUCACCACCAUUCUCCAGAGGUUCACCCUCAUGUCACCUGUGGCACCUGAGAAGAUCAAUAUUGCUCCAGCUGUCCAUGCCAUCGUCAGCCUCACCCAACAAUAUCAGCUUUCCGUGGUCCCACACCAGUAGUGAUCUUCCUGUUCUUGUGGCUACCAGAAAAAUCCAAUUUGUCUCCCAGAAUGUAUAGAUUGACUCUAGUUUUAAUUUUUAAACAAACUGUAAGAUACAAUUAGUUAUACCAAUAAAGCAACUUUGAUUGUAUUAUU